UACAGGGGGGGCAAGCGUUGUUCGGAAUUACUGGGCGUAAAGGGUUCGUAGGUGGCCAACUAAGUCAGACGUGAAAUCCCCCGGCUUAACCUGGGAACUGCGUCUGAUACUGGGAGGCUUGAGUAUGGGAGAGGGAUGUAGAAUUCCAGGUGUAGCGGUGAAAUGCGUAGAUAUCUGGAGGAAUACCGGUGGCGAAGGCGGCAUCCUGGACCAUAACUGACGCUGAGGCGCGAAAGCUAGGGGAGCAAACGGG
rnacentral:rRNA from 1 species